rnacentral:rRNA from 1 species
GAUGAACGCUGGCGGCGUGCCUAAUACAUGCAAGUCGAGCGAACAGACGAGGAGCUUGCUCCUUUGACGUUAGCGGCGGACGGGUGAGUAACACGUGGGUAGCCUACCUAUAAGACUGGGAUAACUUCGGGAAACCGGAGCUAAUACCGGAUAAUAUUUCGAACCGCAUGGUUCGAUAGUGAAAGAUGGCUUUGCUAUCACUUAUAGAUGGACCUGCGCCGUAUUAGCUAGUUGGUAAGGUAACGGCUUACCAAGGCAACGAUACGUAGCCGACCUGAGAGGGUGAUCGGCCACACUGGAACUGAGACACGGUCCAGACUCCUACGGGAGGCAGCAGUAGGGAAUCUUCCGCAAUGGGCGAAAGCCUGACGGAGCAACGCCGCGUGAGUGAUGAAGGUCUUCGGAUCGUAAAACUCUGUUAUUAGGGAAGAAUAAACGUGUAAGUAACUGUGCACGUCUUGACGGUACCUAAUCAGAAAGCCACGGCUAACUACGUG